rnacentral:rRNA from 1 species
UCCUGGCUCAGGACGAACGCUGGCGGCGUGCUUAACACAUGCAAGUCGAACGGAAAGGCCCCUUCGGGGGUACUCGAGUGGCGAACGGGUGAGUAACACGUGGGCAAUCUGCCCUGCACUUCGGGAUAAGCCUGGGAAACUGGGUCUAAUACCGGAUAGGACCUUUAGGCGCAUGCCUUUUGGUGGAAAGCUUUUGCGGUGUGGGAUGGGCCCGCGGCCUAUCAGCUUGUUGGUGGGGUGAUGGCCUACCAAGGCGACGACGGGUAGCCGGCCUGAGAGGGUGUCCGGCCACACUGGGACUGAGAUACGGCCCAGACUCCUACGGGAGGCAGCAGUGGGGAAUAUUGCACAAUGGGCGCAAGCCUGAUGCAGCGACGCCGCGUGGGGGAUGACGGCCUUCGGGUUGUAAACCUCUUUCACCAUCGACGAAGGUCCGGGUUUUCUCGGAUUGACGGUAGGUGGAGAAGAAGCACCGGCCAACUACGUGCCAGCAGCCGCGGUAAUACGUAGGGUGCGAGCGUUGUCCGGAAUUACUGGGCGUAAAGAGCUCGUAGGUGGUUUGUCGCGUUGUUCGUGAAAUCUCACGGCUUAACUGUGAGCGUGCGGGCGAUACGGGCAGACUAGAGUACUGCAGGGGAGACUGGAAUUCCUGGUGUAGCGGUGGAAUGCGCAGAUAUCAGGAGGAACACCGGUGGCGAAGGCGGGUCUCUGGGCAGUAACUGACGCUGAGGAGCGAAAGCGUGGGGAGCGAACAGGAUUAGAUACCCUGGUAGUCCACGCCGUAAACGGUGGGUACUAGGUGUGGGUUUCCUUCCUUGGGAUCCGUGCCGUAGCUAACGCAUUAAGUACCCCGCCUGGGGAGUACGGCCGCAAGGCUAAAACUCAAAGGAAUUGACGGGGSCCCGCUCAAGCGGCGGAGCAUGUGGAUUAAUUCGAUGCGACGCGAAGAACCUUACCUGGGUUUGACAUGCACA